ACAUCCACAGAAGAAUCCAGAGAUGGAUUUGUGCCUUCGGGAACUGUGAGACAGGUGCUGCAUGGCUGUCGUCAGCUCGUGUUGUGAAAUGUUGGGUUAAGUCCCGCAACGAGCGCAACCCUUAUCCUUUGUUGCCAGCGAUUAGGUCGGGAACUCAAAGGAGACUGCCAGUGAUAAACUGGAGGAAGGUGGGGAUGACGUCAAGUCAUCAUGGCCCUUACGACCAGGGCUACACACGUGCUACAAUGGCGCAUACAAAGAGAAGCGACCUCGCGAGAGCAAGCGGACCUCAUAAAGUGCGUCGUAGUCCGGAUUGGAGUCUGCAACUCGACUCCAUGAAGUCGGAAUCGCUAGUAAUCGUGGAUCAGAAUGCCACGGUGAAUACGUUCCCGGGCCUUGUACACACCGCCCGUCACACCAUGGGAGUGGGUUGCAAAAGAAGUAGGUAGCUUAACCUUCGGGAGGGCGCUUACCACUUUGUGAUUCAUGACUGGGGUGAAGUCGUAACAAGGUAACCGUAGGGGAACCUGCGGUUGGAUCACCUCCUUACCUUAAAGAA
rnacentral:rRNA from 1 species